AACGAACGCUGGCGGCAUGCCUAACACAUGCAAGUCGAACGAUCCCUUCGGGGAUAGUGGCGCACGGGUGCGUAACGCGUGGGAACCUGCCCUUAGGUUCGGAAUAACUCAGAGAAAUUUGAGCUAAUACCGGAUAAUGUCUUCGGACCAAAGAUUUAUCGCCUUUGGAUGGGCCCGCGUUGGAUUAGCUAGUUGGUGGGGUAAAGGCCUACCAAGGCGACGAUCCAUAGCUGGUCUGAGAGGAUGAUCAGCCACACUGGGACUGAGACACGGCCCAGACUCAUACGGGAGGCAGCAGUGGGGAAUAUUGGACAAUGGGCGAAAGCCUGAUCCAGCAAUGCCGCGUGAGUGAUGAAGGCCUUAGGGUUGUAAAGCUCUUUUACCCGGGAUGAUAAUGACAGUACCGGGAGAAUAAGCCCCGGCUAACUCCGUG
rnacentral:rRNA from 1 species